UACCGAGGCCUCAAGCUUUGUUCGGAAUCAUUGGGCGUAAAGGGUGCGUAGGUGGAUGGGUAAGUCAACUGUGAAAUCCCUGAGCUCAACUCCGGAACUGCAUUCGAUACUGCCCGGCUCGAGGAUUGGAGAGGAGACUGGAAUUGACGGUGUAGCAGUGAAAUGCGUAGAGAUCGUGAGGAACACCCGUGGCGAAGGCGGGUCUCUGGACAAUUCCUGACACUGAGGCACGAAGGCCAGGGGAGCAAACGGG
rnacentral:rRNA from 1 species